rnacentral:piRNA from 1 species
UNCAAGGUGCAUGCUCUCCUUGGGACC